CCAAAGGCUCUUUUCAGAGCCCCUACAUUUUCUCCCAAAAGAGCUG
rfam:Ailuropoda melanoleuca scaffold2693_8, whole genome shotgun sequence.